AACUAUUCCAACCAUUUAGAGUCAUUACUAAGCUUGUGAUACUUCGUGAGAAGACAUCAGGUCAUGAAUUAGCCACUACGAUAGAGGCUCUUCUCCAUGCAAGAUAUUCCUUCAGAAAUCAAUGCUCUACAAUUCUAUGGCAAUGUUUAGUCAAGCAUAAGUACCUCAGGUUUAACUGUCUUGACUUUGAUUAUCAACCUAUCUAGCUAAGCUUCAGAUUCUAAUGAUCAAUAACAAAUGCUGAAGGGAUUCUAUAUGCUUGGACUUUACUCAGGAGACUUGGUGUUCUAUACGCUACAGCCUAGUUUUUUCUACAUGGAUUUUGAUCUAAUUUCCAAAAGCCUUGAAGGGGGAGGAGAACCAAGAAAGAAAGAACUACCUAAAGGUGUAUUAAGGUAGAGUUUCCCUAUUUUUUCUACACUAUUCUUAGAAUCAUCAUAUAAGUUUCAUAAUCUAGUAAUAUGUUACAUAAUCUAUUACACAAUAAUAAAUAAUUGAAUAUGCUAGAAAUAUAAGUUCUACAUUUUUUUAUGCAUGGUUUGAUUUCUUGUGACACCCAUCUCCUUGAUGGUGUUUUCCUAACUGUAGGAUAUUUUCUAUGUUUUUUUCCGUAAUACCUCAUGGUUUAUGUUUUGGAUGAUAAAUGUCUAUUUAUUUUAUAAUUUAGGCCAAACAACUUAUGCCAAACUUUAAUACAGUUCAUGAUCUUCUAACACAAGUGAAAAAAAUUUAUUACUAAAAUUGUAUGUUUUAGUAGUUUUUUUUUUUAAUUUUGUAAUUGAGUAUUUCUAGCGAUUUUUAGUUGUCAGAAAUAGCUCUAAAAUUGUUGCAAUUGCUUUUUUUAGCAAUUUUUGUGCAUUGGAAAAAACUUUAAAUGCAACAAAGAAAGCAAGCGCUGCUUCUGAUAUUGAGUAUUUGCAACGAUUUUGGAUAUUUGUAGCAUUAUAAUUAAGCUAGAAAAAAAAUUUUGCAACGAUUUUUCUACAUUCAUUGGAAAUUGGAAUAGAUUUAUACUCUUUUGUGACGAUGUAAAUUGACGCAAUUGAUCAUUUUCAACGAUUUAUCUUUAAAAUGAUCAAGACAUUUUCAGCGAUGUUUUGAGCAUUGGCAGUGAAAAAAAUCGCUACUAAUAAAAUUUUAAGCGACGAUUUUUUUUCUAUCACUACUUUGAGCAAAAGUGACGUGUUAAUUGCGUCGAACGUGUAGUAAAUUUGAAAUCGCUAGAAAUAGUCAAAUACAGUGAUUUUGAUGAGUUUUUGCGACGAUUUUGAAUACUAAAAAAACCUAUUUUUUGUAGUGAUGUUUCAUCAUGCAAUAUUUCCUUGAUCAUGUGCUAAUUAUUAAUAAACAGAAGAUACAAAAUGCUUAUAACUUAUCUAGAACUUGAUCCAUACAGCUAGCUAGCCAUGCAAUAUCCACUCAGUUUUAGAUCAUCAUGAUCAGUUGGUACGGUGUUCUAUCACUUCUCCUAAUUAAAAGGUCGGUCGAUGGUAGUUUGCAGCUUGCAUUAAGUUUAUAUAGUUGACGUUACACGCCUUUAAUUAUUUUGAUAAUUGACAAGAAAGUUUGCGUGUUUGCGUUGGUAAUGGACCAUGCCGACUAAUUAUUAAUUGUAGUGUUGAUCAGUCGGUCAUGGUUGUUCUAUAUUGACAUUUUAGCUCAUCAUGUGCAAAAAGUAUAAAAAAAGUAUCGAUAUUUGUACUUUUUAUAACUAUAAUUAAUAUAAGUAGUAUAUUUAAUUUAUUUAACACCAUCGACUUGCAAUUAAGUGGUAGAAUCAAUAUUGCGCAAUCAAUGACAUUUCCCUGCAUGCCGGCUUUGUAAUUAGUAUAAAUACUAAAAAAUCCACGGCAGAAUUCAGCUUAAUUACUAGCUAGCUAUAUAUAGCACAUACUUGGUCACAUUAAUACUUUGGGUAAUGAGUAAUUUAAUUUUAUUAUAUAAUAUAUAUUAAAGUAAUGCUAUACACCUCGA